rnacentral:tRNA from 1 species
AGUCUCUUAGCUCAGUUGGUUAGAGCGCUACACUGAUAAUGUAGAGGUCACUGGUUCAAUUCCAGUAGAGACUACCA